rnacentral:siRNA from 1 species
AAGUCCUCGUGUUGCAUCCCUC